GACGAACGCUGGCGGCGUGCCUAAUACAUGCAAGUUGAGCGCUGAAGGUUGGUACUUGUACCAACUGGAUGAGCAGCGAACGGGUGAGUAACGCGUGGGGAAUCUGCCUUUGAGCGGGGGACAACAUUUGGAAACGAAUGCUAAUACCGCAUAAAAACUUUAAACACAAGUUUUAAGUUUGAAAGAUGCAAUUGCAUCACUCAAAGAUGAUCCCGCGUUGUAUUAGCUAGUUGGUGAGGUAAAGGCUCACCAAGGCGAUGAUACAUAGCCGACCUGAGAGGGUGAUCGGCCACAUUGGGACUGAGACACGGCCCAAACUCCUACGGGAGGCAGCAGUAGGGAAUCUUCGGCAAUAGACGAAAGUCUGACCGAGCAACGCCGCGUAAGUGAAGAAGGUUGUCGGAUCGUAAAACUCUGUUGGUAGAGAAGAACGUUGGUGAGAGUGGAAAGCUCAUCAAGUGACGGUAACUACCCAGAAAGGGACGGCUAACUACGUG
rnacentral:rRNA from 1 species